rnacentral:rRNA from 1 species
UAAGAGGUCCCGCCUGCCCUGUGACUAUAUGUUUAACGGCCGCGGUAUUUUGACCGUGCGAAGGUAGCGCAAUCACUUGUCUUUUAAAUGAAGACCUGUAUGAAUGGCAUAACGAGGGCAUAGCUGUCUCCUCUCCCUAGUCAAUGAAAUUAAUCUCCCCGUGCAGAAGCGGGGAUAAGCCCAUUAGACGAGAAGACCCUGUGGAGCUUUAGACAAAAGAGAGAACAUUUAACAACACCUAAAUAAAAGAUUCUACAUAAAUGACUUUAACUCCCACAAUUGUCUUUGGUUGGGGCGACCAUGGGGAAAUACAAAACCCCCAUCUGGACCGGGGAUUACAUCCCUAUAAUCAAGGACCACCACCCUAAAAUACAGAAUAUCUGACCUUAAAGACCCGGCAAAUAGCCGAUUAACGAAAACAGUUACCCCAGGGAUAACAGCGCAAUCCUAUUCUAGAGCCCCUAUCGACGAAAGGGUUUACGACCUCGAUGUUGGAUCAGGACAUCCUAAUGGUGCAACCGCUAUUAAGGGUUCGUUUGUUCAACG